GAUUUCUGGCCUGGCGCGCCUGGCCCGCCACGGUUACGUGUGUGAGUGCCGGUGCGCGCCUGCCAUCCUUCGAAUUCGCUCGUCUACCCUUCACUGGGCCGGACGGGUCGGGUUCGAUCGUUUACUUUGAAAAAAUUAGAGUGUUCAAAGCAGGCAUAUCGCUAUGAAUACAUUAGCAUGGAAUAAUAAUUUAGGACUUCGGUUCUAUUUUGUUGGUUUCUAGGACUGAAGUAAUGAUUGAUAGGGAUAGUUGGGGGUGCUAGUAUUCAGUGGCCAGAGGUGAAAUUCUUGGAUUCACUGAAGACUAACUUUUGCGAAAGCAUU
rnacentral:rRNA from 1 species